rnacentral:rRNA from 1 species
UGGGGAAUAUUGGACAAUGGGCGCAAGCCUGAUCCAGCCAUGCCGCGUGAGUGAUGAAGGCCUUAGGGUUGUAAAGCUCUUUCACCGGUGAAGAUGAUGACGGUAACCGGAGAAGAAGCCCCGGCUAACUUCGUGCCAGCAGCCGCGGUAAUACGAAGGGGGCUAGCGUUGUUCGGAAUUACUGGGCGUAAAGCGCACGUAGGCGGACAUUGUAAGUCAGGGGUGAAAUCCCGAGGCUCAACCUCGGAACUGCCUUUGAUACUGGGUGUCUAGAGUAUGGAAGAGGUGAGUGGAAUUUCGAGUGUAGAGGUGAAAUUCGUAGAUAUUCGGAGGAACACCAGUGGCGAAGGCGACUCACUGGUCCAUUACUGACGCUGAGGUGCGAAAGCGUGGGGAGCAAACA